rnacentral:rRNA from 1 species
CAGCCGUAAACUAUGCGCGUUAGGUGUACUGGUGACCACGAGUCACCGGGGUGCCGAAGGGAAACCGUGAAACGUGCCGCCUGGGAAGUACGGUCGCAAGGCUGAAACUUAAAGGAAUUGGCGGGGGAGCACCACAACAGGUGGAGCCUGCGGUUUAAUUGGAUUCAACGCCGGACAUCUCACCGGAUAAGACAGCUGAAUGAUUGUCAAUCUGAAGGUUUUACAUGACUAGCUGAGAGGAGGUGCAUGGCGUCAGUGACU